AGACAAGGAAGGACGCAGCAGCAGUGAGGUAAAAGAAGAGGAAGGAAAAAAAAAAAAAAAAAAGCAACCCAGUCCUUUCCAACCGCCUUGCCGACGAUGCGCACCCGUUCGGUUUGAUUUGAACAGCUUGCUGCUCUAAAUGGCAUGCGGAAGGAGGAUAAUUAAAAAGGCCAGCAUCACUUACUAAGGGAUUACUGGAAAAAGACAGUGAGAGGAUGACAGGAAGACAUCUUGGACCAGAGCCAAAAAAUAAUAAUAAUCAAGGCAAAUCAAGUCUGCAAUUCGGAGGAAACACCCAUGACUUGGGAAGCUCCCGAUGGGAACAUGGGAACCCGCUGGAGUUCCAAAGCCGAGUCUGGGAAUAUUGUUGUGGGCACAAGAGGACAAGAUUCAGGAGAGAGUCAUGGCAUGCCGGCUUACACAGCUGUGCCACACACUGAGGAAAAAGAAAACCCAAACCAAAUCCACACCAGACCCAAACAGUGAAAGCCAACAUAUAUCCUUUGCAUUGGAGUCUUUGUGCUGGCUCCAAGUCAUCCCAUCUAUUUAAAGCAAUUCCACAACGUGCCUCCUGCUAGUAGCUGCUAGUCCUCUUGCCUGUCUCCAGAAGCUGCCUCGCUGUUGCAGGGUGAUAGUGGGAAGACGUGGUUGGGAAAAAUCAGUUUUCCAUUGGCUGGGCUUCUGGCAAAUGUGCCAGGUGAUUGUUGUUGCCAUUUGGACCGACCUACGGGAGCUGGUUGGGAAUUCCUCUUCUGGUGUCUCCCAGCUGUGGCUUGGUGAGUCCCAAACCAACCGUGAACUCUUUUUAUACAGUGUUCCAAAUACACUCGGACAAA
rnacentral:lncRNA from 1 species